AACAAACUGCCUCUUACAUGCUGGGCAAGCCCCCUGCCAAAUUUUGAUAUAAAAGGCCAGCGAACCACUGUAGUUAUUUAUUGUCAAUAAGAAACUGAUAGAAGUUGAUGCAAAAAGCAGCUCAACAGAACACAUGCACAUAUGGGUUGAUUCUAUCUCUAUCUUGACUCAAAUUAAAGCUCUAUAGUCUGGCCAUCUUGUGUAGCCUACUUAAGGCACCUUAUUCUUGUAACAAAAAUAGAAAAACCAAACAAUUUCAGCUUAAACUUGCCUAGGGACACAUUUGAAAACCAACAAAAAAGCUCAUCUAAUUCUGACAGCGAUGAUGAUGUUAUACCUUAAGGACAAGAUUAUUUGUUGCUGUCCUAAUGAGAAGAGGUGCAGCAAAUGG
rnacentral:misc_RNA from 1 species